GUUUGGAAUUUUGGACAAUGGACGAAAGUCUGAUCCAGCGACGCCGCGUGGACGAUGACGGCCUUCGGGUUGUAAAGUCCUUUUGCUUGGGACGAAUUUUUGACGGUACCAAGCGAAUAAGAGGUUGCUAACUCUGUGCCAGCAGCAGCGGUAAUACAGAGACCUCAAGCGUUAUCCGGAAUCAUUGGGCGUAAAGCGUACCGAUCGGUGGUAUUGCAAGUCAGAGGUGAAAUUCCAAAGCUCAACUUUGGGACUGUCCUUUGAAACUGCAAUGCUCGAGGGGCAAAGAGGAAGCUGGAACCAGCGGUGUAGUAGUGAAAUGCGUUGAUAUCGCUGGGAACACCAAUAGCGAAGGCAGGCUUCUGGGUGCCAUCUGACACUGCUAGGACGAAAGCGUGGGGAGCGAAUGGGAUUAGAUACCCUUGUAGUCC
rnacentral:rRNA from 1 species